UUAAAGAAUUUGAAGACUUCAACUUGCAGACUUAAAGAAUUUGAAGACUUCAACUUGCAGACUUAAAGAAUUUGAAGACUUCAACU
rfam:Solanum tuberosum cultivar DM 1-3 516 R44 scf00170_16, whole genome shotgun sequence.